rnacentral:rRNA from 1 species
UACGUAGGGUGCGAGCGUUGUCCGGAAUUACUGGGCGUAAAGAGUUCGUAGGCGGUUUGUCGCGUCGUUCGUGAAAACUUGGGGCUUAACUCCAAGCGUGCGGGCGAUACGGGCAGACUUGAGUACUACAGGGGAGACUGGAAUUCCUGGUGUAGCGGUGAGAUGCGCAGAUAUCAGGAGGAACACCGGUGGCGAAGGCGGGUCUCUGGGUAGUAACUGACGCUGAGGAACGAAAGCGUGGGUAGCGAACAGG